UGGGGAAUAUUGGACAAUGGGCGCAAGCCUGAUCCAGCCAUGCCGCGUGUGUGAAGAAGGCCUUUUGGUUGUAAAGCACUUUAAGCGAGGAGGAGGCUACUUGGAUUAAUACUCUAGGAUAGUGGGCGUUACUCGCAGAAUAAGCACCGGCUAACUCUGUGCCAGCAGCCGCGGUAAUACAGAGGGUGCGAGCGUUAAUCGGAUUUACUGGGCGUAAAGCGUGCGUAGGCGGCUUUUUAAGUCGGAUGUGAAAUCCCUGAGCUUAACUUAGGAAUUGCAUUCGAUACUGGGAAGCUAGAGCAUGGGAGAGGAUGGUAGAAUUCCAGGUGUAGCGGUGAAAUGCGUAGAGAUCUGGAGGAAUACCGAUGGCGAAGGCAGCCAUCUGGCCUAAUACUGACGCUGAGGUACGAAAGCAUGGGGAGCAAACAGG
rnacentral:rRNA from 1 species